UUACGUCUAAAUGCAACGGGGAGGAGUUUCGUGACCGUCGGGAUGUUGACAGCGAGGAGGGUGACGAAGAGGCACCGAAGGAGAACGUUGUCAUAACUCUCAUGCAAAAAGAGCGCAGCCAGACACUUCUGCGGAUUUUAAAGUCAAGGAGGAACAAGGCAGGGAAGAAUUUUAAAUUUGGAGCAAAUGUGCAAAACGGAAGCCCGUCGUGUAGGGAAAGAGUGAGA